UUUUCCCCAGAGUUAAGCUGCAGAUUGUUAUUGAUAAAAUAUGAACUAAUGCUCAGAACAUCCCCGUGUGUUUAAGGUGGAAUUUCAUUUCAGUCAGGAGGAAUUUCAUUUCACCCGCUAAAAGUAAAAAAAUGUUAAGCCUGGACUAGUUUUCUGGGUUUCUUUACAGCCAACAAAAAGAGACAGGCACAUCCAGAGGACAAUUUGGCCGAUCUGUUUUAGGAUUUAUUGGGUAGCUAUGGAUGUCAUGUGGGAAGCAGGGCUGUUAGAGAGGGAGGGGAGAUGGAUUGGGAAGGGCCAGACUGGAAUUUAGGUGCUGGUUCAGAGCCUGAGACAAUCUGUCUUCAGUUCUGGUGUCUUCCUGUGAGCUAAGUGUGAAAAUUCUCAUUGUAAUCAUUGGAGAACCACUCAGGUGGAUCCUAAACGAGCCUAAAAUAGACACCUACCAGCUGAUGACUUGAAUUUUGUCCUCACAUCACAGCAAUUCAACUUAUUACAGGCAAGAGGAUGUUCUCCAAACACACAACUGGGGUGGAGACCAUGGAGUUACCAAGACAGGGCUCCCAAACAGGACCUUUGAGAGACCUGCAUCUUUCUGGACUGGAGCUGGAGGGUCAGGGAAUUCAACUGGCUACAGGCAAGAGGAUGUUCUCCAAACACACAUGGGGUAACCAAGACAGGGCUCCCAAACAGGACCUUUGGCAGACCUGCAUCUUUCUGGAGUGGAGCAGGAGGACCAGGCAAUUCAACUUACUACAGGCAAGAGGAUGUUCUCCAAACACACAUGGGGUAACCAAGACAGGGCUCCCAAACAGGAUCUUUGGCAGACCUGCAUCUUUCUGGAGCAGAGCUGGAGGGUCAGGGUACACUAAAAUAUUUAAAAUAUUUAAAAAUAUUUCAAUAUUAAAUUGAAAUUUCAUUUCAAUUAAAACAGCCUCAGAAUUCCAAGGAUUGUGAGUGAAGGAGUUGUGGGGCUCAGCUGGGAUCACUAAGUCCUGGUGGGAGCUCCCCUCACCUCUUGCUGCCUCUCCAGAUUUUAGGUCAGAUCUAAG